GAGCACACUGCUUCACACUUGUGAAGUGACUCCUCUGCAGGUGAGGACCCAAGGAUCUGUACCUACAUGGGGAAAUCACCUGGAGAUACUUUUGACAGCACAGGUCAGCAUAAUACCUGUAGCUGUCACUAACUAUUCCUAUAUUU
rnacentral:snoRNA from 1 species